rnacentral:rRNA from 1 species
GAAAGAUGAAAAGAACUUUGAAAAGAGAGUUAAAUAGUACGUGAAAUUGUUGAAAGGGAAACGAUUGAAGCCAGUCGUACCUUCGGGUAAUCAGCCUUUCGGGUGCGAUUCUGUGGGGUUUGAGGAGCUUAACACCUUCAUGCUUUGCAUAUUCGUGCUCUUGGGUGUACUUGCCCGUGUGGUUGGUUAACAUCAAUUUUGGUGGUCAUAAAAUGACUGGAGGAAUGUAGCUUCGAUCUCGUAUUGAAGUGUUAUA